UGGAAAACCCGUUAACGACACAUCAAUUUCAUAAAUAUCCACCGUUCGAUUGGUUUGCGAAGUGCACAGAAUCUUGUGAGGCUCCCCCACCUCCACUUGGCUCAGGGAAAGCUCUAAUGUCUAUAAAUUGGGGUGGGGGGCAUCCCUGACGCAACCAAAGUGUGCCAAGAGUGGGAGCUAAGGAGAGAGGAGGUGGCCAGAGAGCAAUGGGAGGGUCCUCUUCCAAAUCCGCAUUGUGCAGCUGCUUUUCUCCUUGCUAUGAAGAAGCUGAGGGUGAGCAGAGGGGCACCUCAAGUAAAGUCAGAUCCAGUGAUGACGACCGACCGGGAUUUGUUGCCGAUCCGAAAAUCAACGAGAAAUCCUCUGCCUUCAUAGCCAAAUUCCAUGAGAGGCAAGACAACGGACCCCGAUAGGCUUGCAUGCAGUGCAGCUUAGCUUCUGAUUUCAUGUCCCUAGUAUUUAUGCUUGCUGAAGUUUGUUACCAUUUAUAUUUAUAUGUUUCUUCCUUUGAUUUGUAGUAGGUUGAUUUGCGCCUUGUAUUCGGUUGUCGAGGGAAAGAAAAAGGAUAUCAUGAGAUCUAAUUGGGAUAUACUGUUCUGUUGGUAUAUUGUGCAUUUACUUUUAGACUGUAAUAAGAAAACUUUGGAAAUAAAGUUAGCUCUUUGCUCAAGACUGUUCAUUCGUUCAACAUACAACUUGUUAAUUUCCAUCGAGAAAAAAAAAAACAUACAAGUUGUUAAUUUGUAGAAGUUAUAGUGUGCUGUGAAGUGUCAUGGUUACAGUUUAGCAGAG
rnacentral:lncRNA from 1 species